rnacentral:rRNA from 1 species
GUCUACGGCCAUACCACCCUGAAAAUACUGAUCUCCCCUGAUCUUGGAAGCAAAGCAGGGUCUGGCCUGGUUAGUACUUGGAUGGGAGAAAUAGGCGUGUUUGAAA